rnacentral:rRNA from 1 species
CCCCGAAGAGGGGGAUAACCACUGGAAACGGUGGCUAAUACCCCAUGUGGUCCCGCAUUCGUUUGCGGGAUUAAAGGCUCCGGCGCUUCGGGAGGGGCCUGCGGCCUAUCAGCUAGUUGGUAGGGUAAUGGCCUACCAAGGCUAUGACGGGUAGCUGGUCUGAGAGGACGGACAGCCACACUGGCACUGAGACACGGGCCAGACUCCUACGGGAGGCAGCAGUGAGGAAUAUUGCGCAAUGGGGGAAACCCUGACGCAGCAACGCCGCGUGGGCGAAGAAGGUCUUCGGAUCGUAAAGCCCUUUUCUCUCGGACGAGGAAGGACGGUACGGGAGGAAUAAGCGUCGGCUAACUACGUGCCAGCAGCCGCGGUAAAACGUAGGACGCAAGCGUUAUCCGGAUUUAUUGGGCGUAAAGGGCGUCUAGGCGGCGUCUUAAGUUGGGCGUGAAAUCUUCCGGCUCAACCGGAAGGGUGCGUCCAAUACUGGGACGCUUGAGGACAGCAGAGGGAGGUGGAAUUCCCGGAGUAGCGGUGGAAUGCGUAGAUAUCGGGAGGAACACCAGUGGCGAAGGCGGCCUCCUGGGCUGUACCUGACGCUGAAGCGCAAAAGCGUGGGGAGCAAACGGGAUUAGAUACCCCGGUAGUCCACGCCGU